AUACAUACCUGGCAGGGGACAUACCAUGACCAUGAAGGUGGUUUUUCCAGGACACGCUCACCCAUUGCACUCCGGGUGUGCUGCCCCCUGCGAGUUCCCCCAAUGUGGGCAACUUGACUGCAUACUUUGUGGUAGUGGGGGACGGCGUUUGCACUCUCCCCUA
ensembl:snRNA U1 U1 spliceosomal RNA